rnacentral:rRNA from 1 species
CCUACGGGUGGCAGCAGUGGGGGAUAUUGCACAAUGGGGGAAACCCUGAUGCAGCGAUGCCGCGUGAAUGAAGACGGCCUUCGGGUUGUAAAGGUCUGUCUCAGGGGACUAAAAUGACGGUACCCAGCACGAAAGCUCCGGCUAACUAAGUGCCAGGAGCCGCGGUACUACGUUGGGAGCCAGCGUUCUCCGGAAUUACCGGGUGUAAAGUGAGCGUAGGCGGGAGGAUAAGUUGAAUGUGAAAUCUAUGGGCUCAACCCAAAGCUGCGUUCAAAACUGUUCUUCUUGAGUGAAGUAGAGGCAGGCGGAAUUCCUAGUGUAGCGGUGAAAUGCUGAGAUAUUAGGAGGAACACCAGUGGCGAAGGCGGCCUGCUGGGCUUUUACUGACGCUGAGGCUCGAAAGCGUGGGUAGCAAACAGGAUUAGAUACCCGAGUAGUC